GCGGAAGCGGUACAGAAGAAAUGUGGGAGAAGGAGGCUCAGAACCACAUUCAGGAGUUUAGGAACAUGCUUACAUACGGAAGCUUAGACUCCCCAGAGAGCGGCGGGUAGCACAGCCCAGGGAAUCCCUCAACCGACCAGACCUUUGUUCUCUCAAAUCUCUGGAUCCGCUCCUGCUGCUUUGCCUUGAGUCCUUUGCCUUGAGCUGGGGUAGGGGAGGGGCCCCUCGAAGACAGGCAGCUCCCUUCCUUCCUGACUCAC
rnacentral:lncRNA from 1 species